GGGCACAUGGUGUAGUUGGUUAUCACAUCCGCUUAGCAAUCAUGCAAAUGCGGGGGUGCUGGGUUCAAUUCCCAGUGUGUCCA
rnacentral:tRNA from 1 species